UCAACUCAGUUACUCAGAUAGCCAGGCCAGGAGGCCCAGGACCAGUAUCGUCAGGAAACUUAUAAGCCAUAGAAGGUACGGGAAAGGGCAUUAGUGGGCGAUACCUCUUUCGUUUUUGUUCUUCUUCAUCUUCAGCCAGCGAGGUUUUUUCAGGAAUGGACUCCCAGAAAGCUCAGUUUGAACGACAGCAGCCUCCUUCAGCUACUUCCCCACCCAUAACUUCUUGUCGAAAAAAGAAGUCUGACGAUGCGACUUUCUUGGAAGAUAUAAAGGAUCAUAUUGAUGAGUUCAUUAGUGCAUCUGUGGAUGAACACGCCACUUGUUUUAAGAAGACUAUUCAAAAGAUGUUUGGAAUGUCAAAGAUUGUUGCAGAAAGGAGUUCAGAACAAAAAGAAGUUGAAAGUACUCUGCCCCUUCGGACAACCGUAGCCGACUAGAAUAUUUGACAUCCUUUUCUGAUCCAAGGAAUAUAAAUAUAUACAUCUUGUUAUCAGUUUUCUGUUUUGAUAAAAGAACAUGAGAAUUACUUCAUAAUAAUGGCCUGCUAGCACAUUGAAGUGUCUAGCUCAUAGAUGUGUUGAACUCUGGCCUCUGGAGUCUGGAUGUUUAGUAUAUUUUGCAACACCUAUUCCAAAAUUACAGCAGAUGCCUUCUCUUUCCAA